UUCUUUUUUUUCUUGCAAACUGUGCAUCACUUUAAUAUUUUAAUUUAGAAUUUUUUUUUUUUUUUAAUAAAUAUCGUCAUAUCCCGACGUCUGUUCCUCCUUGCAAUCUUGCCACUUCAAUACGUUACUCACUGUUUGAAGUUAAAACUGUUGAAUGUUGAUUAUUGAAGGUUUUGUUAUUAAGCCCUUAAGUUCAUUUAGAUUUUUGCGGAAAAGAAUAAAGAUGUUGUUAUAAGACUUAGAUUCUACCGGCUUACAGCUCUUAGUAUACUUUCUUGGUCCUGGAGAAAUCAUGGUCACCGAAAAAAAUGUACAAAUUUUGUUUCCAGUGGCAAAUCUCUUACAGUUAAACGGUACACACUAGGCGUGUUGUGAUAUAUUACAUACACGACUGCACCCUGCAGAUUGUAUUGGUAUAAAUGCGUUAGCUGAUUUUACAUAGCUGCACAAAAUUAUUAACAAGUUCAGAAUUAUAUAUUCACAAGCACUUUUCUUAUGAAGACGUGGUUAAGCAACCGUGACAAGUUUCCAGUUAUCCAAGAUAUCCAGUGAUGAACUUACAGUUCCAUUUGAAGAAAAAAUAAACUUCAAAAGUGGUGUUGUUGGUACCGCAGUUAUGACAAAAUACAAUAAUGAAACUUACAAAAUUGACGACAGAAUUAACAAAGAAGUACUGUAUUAGAAAUAGAACAUAACAAUUUGUGGUGGCAGACAACCGAUGUGGAUUUCAAAAAAUAAAAAUCUAUAAGAUAAUUUGGGGUUGAAGAUACAUUGGUUUACCUUGUUCCAGAAUUAUGCAUUAUGACUGGCUUGACCGAUGCCACGAGAAAUAAUUUCAAAUUCAUGAAAAGUAUGGCCAUAUAUACCCGUAUAAAUCCUAUAGAACGCAUGGAAAGGUUAACAAACAUUGCUCAUCAACUUCUUUCUAUACCCGAAAUUGUUCAUUAUUCGAAUCAUCUUCGUUCACAUUCAGAAAUUUUAAAUCGUCUUCAUCAAUGACAGUUAAUUUAGACUGAUGCACAGCAAUCAUUGUGUAAUCGUGUUUUUCAA
rnacentral:lncRNA from 1 species